AGACCCGAAACCCGGUGAUCUAGCCAUGGGCAGGUUGAAGGUUGGGUAACACUAACUGGAGGACCGAACCGACUAAUGUUGAAAAAUUAGCGGAUGACCUGUGGCUGGGGGUGAAAGGCCAAUCAAACCGGGAGAUAGCUGGUUCUCCCCGAAAGCUAUUUAGGUAGCGCCUCGUGAAUUCAUCUCCGGGGGUAGAGCACUGUUUCGGCUAGGGGGCCAUCCCGGCUUACCAACCCGAUGCAAACUGCGAAUACCGGAGAAUGUUAUCACGGGAGACACACGGCGGGUGCUAACGUCCGUCGUGAAGAGGGAAACAACCCAGACCGCCAGCUAAGGUCCCAAAGUCAUGGUUAAGUGGGAAACGAUGUGGGAAGGCCCAGACAGCCAGGAUGUUGGCUUAGAAGCAGCCAUCAUUUAAAGAAAGCGUAAUAGCUCACUGGUCGAGUCGGCCUGCGCGGAAGAUGUAACGGGGCUAAACCAUGCACCGAAGCUGCGGCAGCGACACUGUGUGUUGUUGGGUAGGGGAGCGUUCUGUAAGCCUGUGAAGGUGGCCUGUGAGGGUUGCUGGAGGUAUCAGAAGUGCGAAUGCUGACAUAAGUAACGAUAAAGCGG
rnacentral:rRNA from 1 species